rnacentral:rRNA from 1 species
GACGAACGCUGGCGGCGUGCUUAACACAUGCAAGUCGAACGGAAAGGCCCUGAUUUUGUGGGGUGCUCGAGUGGCGCACGGGUGAGUAACACGUGAGUAAACUGCACUUGUCUUUGGGAUAACUUCAGGAAACUGGGGCUAAUACCGGAUAGGAGCUCCUGCUGCAUGGUGGGGGUUGGAAAGUUUCGGCGGUUGGGGAUGGAAUAGCGGCUUAUCAGCUUGUUGGUGGGGUAGUGGCUUACCAAGGCUUCGACGGGUAGCCGGCCUGAGAGGGUGACCGGGCACAUGGGGACUACGAUACGGCCCAGACUCCUACGGGAGGCAGCAGUCGGGAAUAUUGCACAAUGGGCGGAAGCCUGAUGCAGCAGCGCCGCGUGCGGGAUGACGUCCUUCGAGUUGUAAACCGCUGUCGCCUGAGACGAAGAGGGAGUGACGGUAAUGAGUAAAGAAGCACCGGCUAACUACGUG